GGGAAUCUACCUUUUGCUGCGGAAUAACUCAGGGAAACUUGUGCUAAUACCGUAUGUGUCCUUCGGGAGAAAGAUUUAUCGGCAAAGGAUGAGCCCGCGUUGGAUUAGCUAGUUGGUGGGGUAAAGGCCCACCAAGGCGACGAUCCAUAGCUGGUCUGAGAGGAUGAUCAGCCACACUGGGACUGAGACACGGCCCAGACUCCUACGGGAGGCAGCAGUGGGGAAUAUUGGACAAUGGGCGCAAGCCUGAUCCAGCCAUGCCGCGUGAGUGAUGAAGGCCCUAGGGUUGUAAAGCUCUUUCACCGGUGAAGAUAAUGACGGUAACCGGAGAAGAAGCCCCGGCUAACUUCGUGCCAGCAGCCGCGGUAAUACGAAGGGGGCUAGCGUUGUUCGGAUUUACUGGGCGUAAAGCGCACGUAGGCGGACUUUUAAGUCAGGGGUGAAAUCCCAGAGCUCAACUCUGGAACUGCCUUUGAUACUGGAAGUCUUGAGUAUGGUAGAGGUGAGUGGAAUUCCGAGU
rnacentral:rRNA from 1 species